rnacentral:misc_RNA from 1 species
CACACCUCAAGCUCUGCUUGGUAUUGGGCGUCGCCCCCUCUAAAACGGGGGGCGUGCCUCAAAGACCUCGGCGGUGGCGUCUUUGCCUCAAGCGUAGUAAUAUUUAUUUAUAAUCUCGCUUUGGAGUCGAAGGCGUCGCCCGCCGGACGAAACCUUUAUUUUUUCUAUCAA